UAUGUUAUACGCCAACAUAUUCUCACGACGACGACGACACAAACACACACUAAGUACAAAACUGGUCGUGUUCUCCUAAUAUACAAUGUACGACCAGAAACUGCAAAAGCGCUAUUCAUCUAUCCAUAUAUAACCAACUCUCCAAGGUUGGGCAGCAAAUCGAUUCAGGAAAAGUGGGCCAGCAGCAGCAACCGUUUUGCAGAGCUCUCUCUCUCAGAAAGAGAGAGAGACCUCUUUGCAGUGUUACUUACUUCUAUAGCAUUAUUACUACAUUCCAUUCAAGUGCCAGGUCGUAAUGGUCUUUUUAAGGUUGCAUGAUGUUGAUGACGAGCUUCCAUCAUCCAAACGACGAGAAGGAGACGGCCACCACGACGACGACGACGAAAAUGUCCCCACCCACCAACCCAGUCUGACUCCACGCUGAAACAACAUUUUAUGUGCGAGUUAGAAAAUUGCAACAUUAAUAAAAUAAGAGUGUGGGAGCAGUGUGUUGGUGUAGUAGAGCUCAACUCGGAUGACAGAUUGGAUUAAUGCGGGCCUGAAAUGAGAGCUGCAUUACAUGGAUAUUUGCACACAGUGCAAAUAAAGUGAGACAUAAAUACAUACGUACGGUCACAUCACUAGAUACGCUAAAUACAUACUUACGAACUCUGGAGAGUACAAUGAGAUGAAAUGUUUGUCAUUAUGCGUUUUACCGUUAAUUUAUGGACAUCACAUGAUACUAAUACUCCCACCGGUAGUGUGACAGGCUGUAAUAAAAGGGAAAGCACUGAAAAUGUGCAUGAUUAUUAUGAUUUAGGAUGAUAAUAUGACAUCAAUCAAACUGUCUUCUCGGCUAUGAGUAAAUAAGUACUCGUGAGUAAGCAAGUAUUUUCUUGGUGGAACUUGUUCUAUUUUUUAUUUUUCAUCAUGUAUUAUAUUAUGUUAUAUAUAUGUAUAUAUUAUAAAUCUAGCUUUCAUCAUCCAUCAGUUGCACGCGUGUUGUUGCAUUGAUUUCAGAGAAAAAAUUCAUUUGACUUUUACCAUGUACCAAGCAAUGUUAAGAACGCGCUUCUGUUUUCUUCUUUCCUACAUUAAAGCUAUAGAAAUAAAAUGUCAGGCGGCUUCCACUUAAUUUUGACUCGUGAACAUCAUGUUGGCCUUACUUAUCGUUUUACAAAAUACAAUAACAUUCAAGAGUAUAUCACAUGAAACAUCAAAAGAGAAUUUCUUCGCAUAUAUAA